AGGCGAACGCGGUGAACUGAAACAUCUAAGUAACCGCAGGAAAAGAAAUCAACCGAGAUUCCGAAAGUAGCGGCGAGCGAAAUCGGAGGAGCCUAGCGUUUGAUAGCGAAUUCGAUACCGGAACGGUCUGGAAAGUCCGGCUACAGAGGGUGAUAGCCCCGUACGGGAAAUCGAAGUCGUGGUACUAAGGACGCGAAAAGUAGGGCGGGACACGUGACAUCCUGUCUGAAGAUGGGUGGACCAUCAUCCAAGGCUAAAUACUCGUGAUCGACCGAUAGCGAACCAGUACUGUGAAGGAAAGGCGAAAAGAACCCCGGGAGGGGAGUGAAAUAGAUCCUGAAACCGCAUACAUACAAACAGUAGGAGCCUCUUUAUGGGGUGACUGCGUACCUUUUGCAUAAUGGGUCAGCGACUUACGUUUAGCGGCAAGCUUAACCGAUUAGGGGAGGCGCAGCGAAAGCGAGUUCGAACAGAGCGAUUGAGUCGUUAGGCGUAGACCCGAAACCAGAUGAUCUAUCCAUGGCCAGGUUGAAGGUGUGGUAACACACACUGGAGGACCGAACCGACUAGUGUUGCAAAAUUAGCGGAUGAGCUGUGGAUAGGGGUGAAAGGCUAAACAAAUCUGGAGAUAGCUGGUUCUCCCCGAAAACUAUUGAGGUAGUGCCUCGUGUAUGACUCCAGGGGGUAGAGCACUGUUAUGGCUAGGGGGACAUGGCGUCUUACCAAACCAUGGCAAACUCCGAAUACUUGGAAGUUUGAGCACGGGAGACAGAGCACCGGGUGCUAACGUCCGGACUCAAAAGGGAAACAACCCAGACCGCCGGCUAAGGUCCCUAAUAUUGACUAAGUGGAAAACGAAGUGGGAAGGCUAAGACAGUCAGGAAGUUGGCUUAGAAGCAGCCAUCCUUCAAAGAAAGCGUAAUAGCUCACUGAUCGAGUCUUCCUGCGCGGAAGAUGUAACGGGGCUAAGUUCAUAACCGAAGCCGCGGAUUCACACGCAAGUGUGAGUGGUAGGGGAGCGUUCUGUAAGCCUGCGAAGGUGACUCGCAAGGGUUGCUGGAGGUAUCAGAAGUGCGAAUGCUGACAUGAGUAACGUUAAAGCGGGUGAAAAGCCCGCUCGCCGUAAGCCCAAGGUUUCCUGCUCUACGUUCAUCGGAGCAGGGUGAGUCGGCCCCUAAGGCGAGGCUGAGAAGCGUAGCUGAUGGGAACAAGGUUAAUAUUCCUUGACCGCCGUUGAGUGCGAAGGGGGGACGGAGUGUUGAAGAUCAUCCGGGUGUUGGAUGUCCCGGUUUGUGAACGUAGGAGGCCGGCAGGCAAAUCCGCCGGCAUAUCUCCGAGGUGAAGCAUCGAGGUCCGUAUGGACCGAAGUGAUCGGAUGGGCUCCCAGGAAAAGCCUCUAAGCUCCAGCUCAACGGGACCGUACCGCAAACCGACACUGGUGGGCGAGCUGAAUAUGCUCAGGCGCUUGAGAGAACUCAGGAGAAGGAACUCGGCAAAUUGACACCGUAACUUCGGGAUAAGGUGUGCCUUUGUAGCGUGAAGGGAGAAACACCCGGAGCGUGAAGAGGUCUCAGAGAAUCGGUGGCUGCGACUGUUUACUAAAAACACAGCACUCUGCAAAGACGAAAGUCGACGUAUAGGGUGUGAUGCCUGCCCGGUGCUGGAAGAUUAAUUGAUGGGGUGCAAGCUCCUGAUCGAAGUCCCAGUAAACGGCGGCCGUAACUAUAACGGUCCUAAGGUAGCGAAAUUCCUUGUCGGGCAAGUUCCGACCUGCACGAAUGGCAUAACGAUGGCCACACUGUCUCCUCCUGAGACUCAGUGAAGUUGAAGUGUUUGUGAUGAUGCAAUCUCCCCGCGGCUAGACGGAAAGACCCCAUGAACCUUUACUGUAGCUUUGCAUUGGACUUUGAACCGAUCUGUGUAGGAUAGGUGGGAGGCUGUGAAACCGGGACGCCAGUACCGGUGGAGCCGUCCUUGAAAUACCACCCUGAUUUGUUUGAGGUUCUAACCUAGGUCGGUAAUCCCGAUCGGGGACCGUGCAUGGUAGGCAGUUUGACUGGGGCGGUCUCCUCCUAAAGGGUAACGGAGGAGUGCGAAGGUACGCUAGGUACGGUCGGAAAUCGUGCUGAUAGUGCAAUGGCAAAAGCGUGCUUGACUGCGAGACCCACAAGUCGAGCAGAUACGAAAGUAGGUCAUAGUGAUCCGGUGGCUCUGUAUGGAAGGGCCAUCGCUCAACGGAUAAAAGGUACUCUGGGGAUAACAGGCUGAUACCGCCCAAGAGUUCAUAUCGACGGCGGUGUUU
rnacentral:rRNA from 1 species